GACAACUGCAUCCUCAGACAACAAAGAGGACCGACUCUUGAAUCUCUCUCUCGUUACUGUUAAGCAAGGUCCUCAAAGAAGUUUGUAGUUGAUUCAGGCAUCUGUCAGGGCUAGAGGUUGUUGUUUCUGUCCAUGGGAUCAAUCUUCCUGUCUGACCCUAAAGGACAAACAGAACUCUUGAGGAUGUGGAAGGAGAGAGAGAGACGGAUUUUUUUUUUCUUAUGCAGUAACAAGCUUGUGAGAAGGCCAGAAGAAACAUAUAGGAAGGAAAUGAGAAGGACUGAUGAUGAUGAGAUGAAGGAAUGCCAAACAGUUUAUGCAAAAAAAUCGCUACUCUUGUAGUGAUUAAUAACAGCAAAAAUAACCAAAUGACCACACACAGUGAGGAUAUUGCAUGUCUGUCAGUGGGGUG
ensembl:lncRNA